UCUAUUCCUUGUUCUUUUUCUU
rnacentral:snRNA from 1 species